rnacentral:rRNA from 7 species
AAAUUGAAGAGUUUGAUCAUGGCUCAGAUUGAACGCUGGCGGCAGGCCUAACACAUGCAAGUCGAACGGUAACAGGAAGCAGCUUGCUGCUUUGCUGACGAGUGGCGGACGGGUGAGUAAUGUCUGGGAAACUGCCUGAUGGAGGGGGAUAACUACUGGAAACGGUGGCUAAUACCGCAUAACGUCGCAAGACCAAAGAGGGGGACCUUCGGGCCUCUUGCCAUCAGAUGUGCCCAGAUGGGAUUAGCUUGUUGGUGAGGUAACGGCUCACCAAGGCGACGAUCCCUAGCUGGUCUGAGAGGAUGACCAGCCACACUGGAACUGAGACACGGUCCAGACUCCUACGGGAGGCAGCAGUGGGGAAUAUUGCACAAUGGGCGCAAGCCUGAUGCAGCCAUGCCGCGUGUAUGAAGAAGGCCUUCGGGUUGUAAAGUACUUUCAGCGGGGAGGAAGGUGUUGUGGUUAAUAACCGCAGCAAUUGACGUUACCCGCAGAAGAAGCACCGGCUAACUCCGUGCCAGCAGCCGCGGUAAUACGGAGGGUGCAAGCGUUAAUCGGAAUUACUGGGCGUAAAGCGCACGCAGGCGGUCUGUCAAGUCGGAUGUGAAAUCCCCGGGCUCAACCUGGGAACUGCAUUCGAAACUGGCAGGCUUGAGUCUUGUAGAGGGGGGUAGAAUUCCAGGUGUAGCGGUGAAAUGCGUAGAGAUCUGGAGGAAUACCGGUGGCGAAGGCGGCCCCCUGGACAAAGACUGACGCUCAGGUGCGAAAGCGUGGGGAGCAAACAGGAUUAGAUACCCUGGUAGUCCACGCCGUAAACGAUGUCUACUUGGAGGUUGUGCCCUUGAGGCGUGGCUUCCGGAGCUAACGCGUUAAGUAGACCGCCUGGGGAGUACGGCCGCAAGGUUAAAACUCAAAUGAAUUGACGGGGGCCCGCACAAGCGGUGGAGCAUGUGGUUUAAUUCGAUGCAACGCGAAGAACCUUACCUGGUCUUGACAUCCACAGAACUUUCCAGAGAUGGAUUGGUGCCUUCGGGAACUGUGAGACAGGUGCUGCAUGGCUGUCGUCAGCUCGUGUUGUGAAAUGUUGGGUUAAGUCCCGCAACGAGCGCAACCCUUAUCCUUUGUUGCCAGCGGUCCGGCCGGGAACUCAAAGGAGACUGCCAGUGAUAAACUGGAGGAAGGUGGGGAUGACGUCAAGUCAUCAUGGCCCUUACGACCAGGGCUACACACGUGCUACAAUGGCGCAUACAAAGAGAAGCGACCUCGCGAGAGCAAGCGGACCUCAUAAAGUGCGUCGUAGUCCGGAUUGGAGUCUGCAACUCGACUCCAUGAAGUCGGAAUCGCUAGUAAUCGUGGAUCAGAAUGCCACGGUGAAUACGUUCCCGGGCCUUGUACACACCGCCCGUCACACCAUGGGAGUGGGUUGCAAAAGAAGUAGGUAGCUUAACCUUCGGGGGGGCGCUUACCACUUUGUGAUUCAUGACUGGGGUGAAGUCGUAACAAGGUAACCGUAGGGGAACCUGCGGUUGGAUCACCUCCUUA